rnacentral:antisense_RNA from 22 species
UUCUAUGGGCGGGCUGUGGUGGAGGAGCCGCAAGGCUCGCCGGAUUGUUUCAAGCCCGGUCUGUCAACUUCGCUACAUGCCCGCUCACCCUC